UAGGGAAUCUUCCACAAUGGGCGAAAGCCUGAUGGAGCAACGCCGCGUGUGUGAUGAAGGGUUUCGGCUCGUAAAACACUGUUGUAAGAGAAGAAUGACAUUGAGAGUAACUGUUCAAUGUGUGACGGUAUCUUACCAGAAAGGAACGGCUAAAUACGUGCAAG
rnacentral:rRNA from 1 species